UUUUCCUUUCAUCGUUCCUGUUUCUAUUAUUAGGAUUUGAUAGGUUCAUAGUUUCUUCUUUUCUUAUCUUCCCUUUUCCUUUUGUUGUUUUGUUUAGUAUAACUUUGGUUUAAGAGUUAUUUUAGGUUUUUAUAGUGGGUGAUUUUAUCGUGGGUGAUCUUAUAGUAGGUGAUUUUAUCGUGGGUGAUCUUAUAGUAGGUGAUUUUAUCGUGGGUGAUCUUAUAGUAAGUGAUUUUAUCGUGGGUGAUCUUAUAGUGAUUGAUUUUAUUAUCAUGGGUAAACAUAUCGUCGGUGAUCAUAUAGUGAAUAAUCUUAUCGUGGGUGAUCUUAUUGUGGUUGAUCUUAUAGUGAAUGAUGUUAUCGUGGGUGAUCUUAUCAUGAGUGAUUUAUAGUGGGUGAUUUUAUUGUGGGUGAACUUAUCGUGGGUGAAUUUAUUGUGGGUGAUUUUAUCAGGAGUGAUCUUAUAGUGAGUGAUUUUAUCAUGGAUAAUCUUAUCGCGAGUGAUCUUAUAGUGGGAGAUUUUAUCGUGGGUAAUCUUAUUGUGCGUUAUUUUAUCGUGGGUGAUCUUGUAGUGGGUGAUUUUAUCGUGGGUAAACUUAUCGCGCGUGAUUUUAUUGUGGGUAAUCUUAUGGUGGGUAGUCUUAUUGUGAGUCAUCUUGUAGUGGAUGAUUUUAUCGUGGGUGAUCUUAUAGUGGAUGAUUUUAUCGUGGGUGAUGUUAUGGUGGGUGAUUUUAUCGUAGGUAAUCUUAUCGUGGGUGAUCUUAUAGUGGGUGAUGUUAUCGUGGGUAUUCUUAUGGUUGGUGAUCUUAUGGUGAGUGAUUUUAUCGUGGGUGAUCUUAUCAUGAGUGAUUUUGUUGUGCGUGAUUUUAUUGUGGGUAAUCUUAUGGUGGGUAGUCUUAUCGUGGGUGAUCUUGUAGUGGGUGAUUUUAUCGUGGGUGAUCUUAUAGGUUCAUUUCUUUUUAUUGUUUUUGUAAAUAGAGCUUGUACUAGUUUUCUUUUAUUUUUUUAUUUUUCUACCUUCAAUUUUCUGCUUUAAUUCUUUAGACCAUUAUUUGUUCAUUGUUCAUUGCUUUUGUAAAUAGGAAAUGCUUUAGGUUCUUUCCUUUCUAGGUUCUGUUUUAAGCUGCUGUUAGGAAUUGUUUUCGUUUUCAUCGUCUCUGAUUCUAUUAUUAGUAUUUGCAUAGGUUCAUAGUUACUUCUUUUUUUAUCUUUUCCUCUUUUUCUUUUGUUGUUUUCUUUCGUAGAACUUUGGUUUAAGAGUUGUUUUAGAUUCUUUUAUCCAGUCUUCGAUUGUAUAGUUUGUAUAUAGUUUAGGAGAUGAUGUUAGACAUUUUUAGGUUCAUCUUAGGUUCUGUUUCAUACUCUCAUUCGUUCUUUGCAUAUUUAACUCAUUUCUUAUAUUCAUUUCUUUUGAUUAGAACUGUUAAUUGUUUUUUCUGCAUUAGAUUGAUGUAGAAGUAGUCCUAACAUUAAGUUUUUGCAUCUGAGUUCAGUUCUGGCUGAAUUAAGUUGUUUUUCAAAUGUUUGGACUGCUGAAACUGAUGUUUAAAGUUGAGAAAUAUGAUUGUUCAGUUCUGAUUGAGGAAAUGGNUGAAAAAUGAUUGAAUUGGCAGGAUAGGUUGAGUUUUGAAUAAGUCUAGUGUUCCUAGUUUGUGUUUAGUCUUUUAAUUGUUUCUGAGUUUUGUUUUGAGUCUUUCAUUUUGUAGUUUGAGUCUUUGUUUUCAUUUUAGUUAUCCCUGUCCAGGAUGACAGUUUCUUUGUAAAUAGUCAUUCUUAAUUAUGAUUUGUAAACGUUUAUUUGUUUUGCUGAUUUUCGGAUUCAUGAAGUUUGUUCUAGGAUUGCUUAGGUUCUUUUCUUUCCAUUUUUUUUGUAAAUACAGCUCAUACUAGUUUUCUUCUAUGUUUUGCUUUUCUACNUUUAAUUUUCUGCUUUAAUUCCUUAGACCAUUCUUUGUUCAUUGCUUCUGUAAAUANGAAUUGUUUUAGGUUCUUUCCUUUCUAGGUUCUGUUUUAAGCUGCCAUUAGGAAAUUUUUUUCCUUUCGUCGUUCCUGUUUCUAUUAUUAGGAUUUGAUAGGUUCAUAGUUUCUUCUUUUCUUAUCUUCCUUUUUCCUUUUGUUGUUUUGUUUAGUAUAACUUUGGUUUAAGAGUUGUUUUAGGUUCUUUUAUCCAGUCUUAGAUUGUAUAGGUUGUAUAUAGUGUAGGAGAUGAUGUUAGGCAUUUCUAGGUUCAUCUUAGGUUCUAUUUCAUACUCUCAUUCUUUCUUUGCUUAUUUAACUCAUUUCUUAGUUUCAUUUCUUUUGAUUUGAAUGGUUAAUUGUGUUUUUCGCUUUAGAUUGAUGUAGAAGUAGUCCUAGCAUUAAGUUUUUGCAUCUGAGUUCAGUCCUGGUUGAAUGAAGUUGUUUUUCAAAUGUUUGGACUACUGAAACUGAUGUUUAAAGUUGAGAAAUAUGAUUGUUCAGUUCUGAUUGAGGAAAUGGCUNAAAAAUGAUUGAAUUGGCAUGAUAGGUUGAGUUGUGAAUAAGUCUAGUGUUCCUAGUUUGUGUUUAGACUUUUAAUUCUUUCCGAGUUUUGUUUUGAGUCUUUCAUUUUGUAGUUUGANUCUUUGUUUUCAUUUUAGNUAUCCCUGUNCAGGAUGACAGUUUCUUUGUAAAUAGUCAUUCUUAAUUAUGAUUUGUAAACGCUUAUUUCUUUUGCUGAUUUUCGGAUUCAUUAAGUUUUUUCUAGGAUUGGUUAGGUUCUUUUCUUUCCAUUGUUUUUGUAAAUACAACUUGUACUAGUUUUCUUAUAUUUUUUGCUUUUCUACCUUCAAAUUUUUGCUUUAAUUCCUUAGACCAUUCUUUGUUCAUUGCUUCUGUAAAUAGGAAUUGCUUUAGGUUCUUUCCUUUCUAGGUUCUGUGUUAAGCUGCCAUUAGAAAUUUUUUUUUUGCUUUCAUCGUUCCUGUUUCUAUUAUUAGGAUUUGAUAGGUUCAUAGUUUCUUCUUUUCUUAUUUUCCCUUUUCCUUUUGUUGUUUUCUUUUGUAUAACUUUGGUUUAAGAGUUGUUUUAGGUUCUUUUAUCCAGUCUUAGAUUGUAUAUGUUGUAUAUAGUGUAGGAGAUGAUGUUAGGCAUUUCUAGGUUCAUCUUAGGUUCUGUUUCAUACUCUCAUUCAUUCUUUUCUUAUUUAACUCAUUUCGUUGUUUCAUUUCUUUUGAUUUGAACGGUUAAUUGUGUUUUUUUCUUUAGAUUGAUGUAGAAGUAGUCCUAGCAUUAAGUUUUUGCAUCUGAGUUCAGUCCUGGCUGAAUUAAGUUGUUUUUCAAAUGCUUGGACUGCUUAAACUGAUGUUUAAAGUUUAGAAAUAUGAUUGUUCAGUUCUGAUUGAGAAAAUGGUUGGAAAAUGAUUGAAUUGGCACGAUAGGUUGAGUUGUGAAUAAAUCUAGUGUUCCUAGUUUCUGUUUAGUCCUUUAAUUGUUUCUGAGUUUUGUUUUGGGUCU
rnacentral:lncRNA from 1 species